rnacentral:rRNA from 1 species
UUUCCGUAGGUGAACCUGCGGAAGGAUCAUUAACGAAUAACUAUGGUGUUGGUUGUAGCUGCCUCCUCGGAGGAAUGUGCACGCCCGCCAUUUUUAUCUUUCCACCUGUGCACCGACUGUAGGUCUGGAUAACUCUCGCCUCACGGCAGAUGCGAGGAUUGGCCUCUGUGCCUCUCCUCGAAUUUCCAGGCUCUACGUCUUUUACACACCCCAAUAGUAUGAUAUAGAAUGUAGUCAAUGGGCUUCUUAGCCUAUAAAACACUAUACAACUUUCAGCAACGGAUCUCUUGGCUCUCGCAUCGAUGAAGAACGCAGCGAAAUGCGAUAAGUAAUGUGAAUUGCAGAAUUCAGUGAAUCAUCGAAUCUUUGAACGCACCUUGCGCUCCUUGGUAUUCCGAGGAGCAUGCCUGUUUGAGUGUCAUUAAAUUCUCAACCUCGCCAGUUUUCUGAACUGCGUCGAGGCUUGGAUUGUGGGGGUUUGUGCAGGCUGCCUCAGCGUGGUCUGCUCCCCUGAAAUGCAUUAGCGAGUUCAUACUGAGCUCCGUCUAUCGGUGUGAUAAUUAUCUACGCCGUUAGUCGAGUUCAGACUUGCUUCUAACCGUCCGCAAGGACAACUCUUGACAAUUUGACCUCAAAUCAGGUAGGACUACCCGCUGAACUUAA